GGCAAAACGGUUAGACGAGGGCGGUUCAGUUCAUGUUUCCCCUGAGCAGGACUUCUUGUUGACUUUAUAUUUGUUGACAUGUUAAUUGGCGUAUAUAUUUAUAUAAAAUAGCGCGUGGAAAUUAUUCUGUAGAAUUAAAUAAAAAUAAUCCGUAUUAUAGAGCAUUUGCCCAGCUUUUACGAAGUUGUAACUUGUAAAGGUACAAUCACUUUUAUGAAACAGUAUAAAACACGAAAACCUAAUCAAAAUCUCGCCUAUAUAAUAUAUUUUUACAGUCGAAGGGUCAAAGGCAUAUUGCUAUAAAAUGUCAACACUCACCAUCAUCGUCUUCAAGAUAUAAAUAUUCCAUUCAUAUCUCUAAUUCCUCGCACGAUUCAGACAAAACACUUCCCAUGUACAGCAAAGCACCGCUAUCGUCCAAAACAUCCACGAUUUCUUCCAUAUUCGACGAAUUUUUAGGUUUUCGAGCACAUUUGCAAGUUUUCGAGUGUUUUUGCAAGUUUUCGAAUCACGAUUUCACAGUCCCUCAAAUCAGCGCUGCUCAAAUUACGCGACCGCGCGUACAAAUGAGGGACUGUGGAAGAGUCAG